rnacentral:rRNA from 1 species
GACGAACGCUGGCGGCGUGCCUAAUACAUGCAAGUCGAGCGGGCUUUGACCUUCGGGUGAAAGCUAGCGGCGGACGGGUGAGUAACACGUAGGCAACCUGCCCCUUAGAUCGGGAUAACAUUGGGAAACGAAUGCUAAGACCGGAUAAACAACUUGGUCGCAUGAUGAAGUUGGGAAACGCGGAGCAAUCUGCGGCUUGG